rnacentral:rRNA from 1 species
CCUACGGGAGGCAGCAGUGAGGAAUAUUGGUCAAUGGACGAGAGUCUGAACCAGCCAAGUAGCGUGAAGGAUGACUGCCCUAUGGGUUGUAAACUUCUUUUAUAUGGGAAUAAAAUGUUCCACGUGUGGGAUUUUGUAUGUACCAUAUGAAUAAGGAUCGGCUAACUCCGUGCCAGCAGCCGCGGUAAUACGGAGGAUCCGAGCGUUAUCCGGAUUUAUUUGGUUUAAAGGGAGCGUAGGUGGAUUGUUAAGUCAGUUGUGAAAGUUUGCGGCUCAACCGUAAAAUUGCAGUUGAAACUGGCAGUCUUGAGUACAGUAGAGGUGGGUGGAAUUCGUGGUGUAGCGGUGAAAUGCUUAGAUAUCACGAAGAACUCCGAUUGCGAAGGCAGCUCACUGGACUGCAACUGACACUGAGGCUCGAAAGUGUGGGUAUCAAACAGGAUUAGAUACCCUAGUAGUC